GGGUAGAGCUCAGCGGUAAGAGUGUAUGCCUAGCAGGCAUGAAGUCCUGGGUUCAAUCCCCAGUACAGCCA
rnacentral:tRNA from 1 species